rnacentral:tRNA from 1 species
GGGAAUAUGGCUCAGUAGUGCAGUGCUUGCCUUGCAUGCAAGAAGCCCUGGGUUUGAUCCCCAGCACCA